rnacentral:rRNA from 1 species
UACAGAGGUCCCGAGCGUUGUUCGGAUUCACUGGGCGUAAAGGGUGCGCAGGUGGCAUGCCAAGUUUGAUGUGAAAUCUCCGGGCUCAACCCGGAAAAAGGCAUUGAAUACUGGUGUGCUGGAGGUUUGGAGGGGGGACUGGAAUUCUCGGUGUAGCAGUGAAAUGCGUAGAUAUCGAGAGGAACACCAGUGGCGAAGGCGAGUCCCUGGACAACACCUGACACUGAGGCACGAAAGCCGGGGGGAGCAAACAGG